GGUGGUAUAUGGCAGCAAGGAUGAUGGUGGCGUGGUGGUGGUAUAUGGCAGCAAGGAUAAUGGUGGCGUGGUGGUGGUAUAUGAUGAAAUACGAUGCGGUGACGGCGUGACAAACUAUGAACAGAACUCGAAACUCUAAAGAACUAGACACUAAGACCAGCAACUCGACACGACGAUGUAACCGCAAAUUCAACUAAGCAAACUACUGAAAAGAUUAUGCAAAGGCUCAGAUUGGUUCGGAUAUGAAGAUCUAAGCCUAAUAUUUUUUUUUUGGCUGUUUCGUGGACGAUAGGUAUGAAGAACAGAUCCGAUCUAAAGAUGAAAAACUGGUAGAAUCUCACCGAGCAACCUGAAAAUCUGAUACCACUUGAUAGAGGCGAAGUUGUCCCUGUCUUUCGAUGAGAUCGUGGAUAUCGUUUAGAUGGAGUAGACUUUGACGAUCCGACUACGAACGUGUGAGG
rnacentral:lncRNA from 1 species